rnacentral:rRNA from 1 species
GAUGAACGCCGGCGGUGUGCCUAAUACAUGCAAGUCGUACGCACUGACCCAACUGAUUGAUGGUGCUUGCACCUGAUUGACGAUGGAUCACCAGUGAGUGGCGGACGGGUGAGUAACACGUAGGUAACCUCCCCCGGAGCGGGGGAUAACAUUUGGAAACAGAUGCUAAUACCGCAUAACAACAAAAAACCACAUGGGCUUUUGUUUGAAAGAUGGCUUUGGCUAUCACUCUGGGAUGGACCUGCGGUGCAUUAGCUAGUUGGUAAGUAACGGCUUACCAAGGCGACGAUGCGUAGGGGUUCUGAGAGGAAGGUCCCCCANACUGGU